UGAGGGGGACUGCUCCUAGUACGAGAGGACCGGAGUGGACGCAUCACUGGUGUUCGGGUUGUCAUGCCAAUGGCACUGCCCGGUAGCUAAAUGCGGAAGAGAUAAGUGCUGAAAGCAUCUAAGCACGAAACUUGCCCCGAGAUGAGUUCUCCCUGACUCCUUGAGAGUCCUGAAGGAACGUUGAAGACGACGACGUUGAUAGGCCGGGUGUGUAAGCGCAGCGAUGCGUUGAGCUAACCGGUACUAAUGAACCGUGAGGCUUAACCUU
rnacentral:rRNA from 1 species